CGGAAUUAUAGUUCACAUGGAGCCAGCCGUGGGCGAAGUUAUUAACCAGUGAAAACCCUACGGAGAGAAGGGGUUUUCGAGAACUAUGGUAUGGAGCAUGUUACCCUACCAAGGAGAAGAGGUAACAUUGAGACAUCACUGCUAGAGGGAAGCCAACUGGAUCUCCCACCUAAAAACACUGACCCCUAGUGGUUUGAAUAUUGACUUUUCAACCAAAUGAACAUGUUUUGCCCACAGUUUAUUAGCUGAUACUGCAUAUCAUGUUUCCCAUGUUGAUGAUGUUCAUUAUGCAUUAUGUUUGAACCACGAGAAGAUAUUAAAUCCAGGCUGUGUCCCAUAGGGCAGUGCACUGUUGGCCCAGGGUCAUCUGGGUUUGGCCUGGGUAAGUUGUCAAUUGUAAAUAAUAAUUUGUUCUUAACUGACUUGCCUACUUAAAUGAAAAAAAUAUAAUUAAAUUAUGAAAAAGAUUCAAGUAAAUGAAAUGUAAACAAUAAUGAUUGAUAUUAACAUGAUGUAUUGUAUUAAAUCUAAUCAUGUUGACAUAAGGUUUAUAUUAACGUGAUGUAUUGUAUUAAAUCUAAUCAUGUUGACAUAAGGUUUAUAUUAACGUGAUGUAUUGUAUUAAAUCUAAUCAUGUUGACAUAAGGUUUAUAUUAACGUGAUGUAUUGUAUUAAAUCUAAUCAUGUUGACAUAAGGUUUAUAUUAACGUGAUGUAUUGUAUUAAAUCUAAUCAUGUUGACAUAAGGUUUAUAUUAACGUGAUGUAUUGUAUUAAAUCUAAUCAUGUUGACAUAAGGUUUAUAUUAACGUGAUGUAUUGUAUUAAAUCUAAUCAUGUUGACAUAAGGUUUAUAUUAACGUGAUGUAUUGUAUUAAAUCUAAUCAUGUUGACAUAAGGUUUAUAUUAACGUGAUGUAUUGUAUUAAAUCUAAUCAUGUUGACAUAAGGUUUAUAUUAACGUGAUGUAUUGUAUUAAAUCUAAUCAUGUUGACAUAAGGUUUAUAUUAACGUGAUGUAUUGUAUUAAAUCUAAUCAUGUUGACAUAAGGUUUAUAUUAACGUGAUGUAUUGUAUUAAAUCUAAUCAUGUUGACAUAAGGUUUAUAUUAACGUGAUGUAUUGUAUUAAAUCUAAUCAUGUUGACA